rnacentral:ncRNA from 1 species
GAAACGCGAACCAAGCAGCCGCCCACCAGUGGCAUGAGACUUGGAGCUGGCCUCGGUAACGAGACCAUGCA